CCUACGGGGGGCUGCAGUGAGGAAUAUUGGUCAAUGGACGAGAGUCUGAACCAGCCAAGUAGCGUGAAGGAUGACUGCCCUGUGGGUUGUAAACUUCUUUUAUCUGGGAAUAAAAUGUUCCACGUGUGGGAGUUUGUGUGUACCAUAUGAAUAAGCAUCGGCUAACUCCGUGCCAGCAGCCGCGGUAAUACGGAGGAUCCGAGCGUUAUCCGGAUUUAUUGGGUUUAAAGGGAGCGUAGGUGGAUUGUUAAGUCAGUUGUGAAAGUUUGCGGCUCAACCGUAAAAUUGCAGUUGAAACUGGCAGUCUUGAGUACAGUAGAGGUGGGCGGAAUGCGUGGUGUAGCGGUGAAAUGCUUAGAUAUCACGAAGAACUCCGAUUGCGAAGGCAGCUCACUGGACUGCAACUGACACUGAGGCUCGAAAGUGUGGGUAUCAAACAGGAUUAGAUACCCCUGUAGUC
rnacentral:rRNA from 1 species